rnacentral:rRNA from 1 species
GAAGUGUGGACGCCAGUCUGCAUGGAGCCGACCUUGAAAUACCACCCUUUAAUGUUUGAUGUUCUAACGUUGACCCGUAAUCCGGGUUGCGGACAGUGUCUGGUGGGUAGUUUGACUGGGGCGGUCUCCUCCUAAAGAGUAACGGAGGAGCACGAAGGUUGGCUAAUCCUGGUCGGACAUCAGGAGGUUAGUGCAAUGGCAUAAGCCAGCUUGACUGCGAGCGUGACGGCGCGAGCAGGUGCGAAAGCAGGUCAUAGUGAUCCGGUGGUUCUGAAUGGAAGGGCCAUCGCUCAACGGAUAAAAGGUACUCCGGGGAUAACAGGCUGAUACCGCCCAAGAGUUCAUAUCGACGGCGGUGUUUGGCACCUCGAUGUCGGCUCAUCACAUCCUGGGGCUGAAGUAGGUCCCAAGGGUAUGGCUGUUCGCCAUUUAAAGUGGUACGCGAGCUGGGUUUAGAACGUCGUGAGACAGUUCGGUCCCUAUCUGCCGUGGGCGCUGGAGAACUGAGGGGGGCUGCUCCUAGUACGAGAGGACCGGAGUGGACGCAUCACUGGUGUUCGGGUUGUCAUGCCAAUGGCACUGCCCGGUAGCUAAAUGCGGAAGAGAUAAGUGCUGAAAGCAUCUAAGCACGAAACUUGCCCCGAGAUGAGUUCUCCCUGACUCCUUGAGAGUCCUGAAGGAACGUUGAAGACGACGACGUUGAUAGGCCGGGUGUGUAAGCGCAGCGAUGCGUUGAGCUAACCGGUACUAAUGAACCGUGAGGCUUAACCUUACAACGCCGAAG